UACGGAGGGGGCUAGCGUUUUUCGGAAUGACUGGGCGUAAAGCGCACGUAGGCGGGCGUUCAAGUCGGGGGUGAAAUCCCGGGGCUCAACCCCGGAACGGCCUUCGAUACUGCAUGUCUUGUGGUCUGGAGAGGUGGGUGGAAUUCCGAGUGUAUAGGUGAAAUUAGUAGAUAUUCGGACGAACACCAGGGGCGAAGGCGGCCCACUGGCCAGAUUCUGACGCUGAGGUGCGAAAGCGUGGGGCGCAAACAGG
rnacentral:rRNA from 1 species